UACGUAGGGUGCGAGCGUUAAUCGGAAUUACUGGGCGUAAAGCGUGCGCAGGCGGUUCGUUGUGUCCGUCGUGAAAUCCCCGGGCUCAACCUGGGAACUGCAUUUGUGACUGCAUCGCUGGAGUGCGGCAGAGGGGGAUGGAAUUCCGGCGUGUAGCAGUGAAAUGCGUAGAUAUGCGGAGGAACACCGAUGGCGAAGGCAAUCCCCUGGGCCUGCACUGACGCUCAUGCACGAAAGCGUGGGGAGCAAACAGG
rnacentral:rRNA from 1 species